rnacentral:rRNA from 1 species
CGAGGACGAACGCUGGCGGCGUGCUUAACACAUGCAGGUCGAACGGUGACCCAGGGCUUGCCCUGGUGAUCAGUGGCGAACGGGUGAGUAACACGUGGGCAACCUGCCCCUGACUUCGGGAUAACUCCUCGAAAGAGGAGCUAAUACCGGAUACGACCACUUCGGACAUCCGAUGGUGGUGGAAAGUUCUUCGGUCAGGGAUGGGCCCGCGGCCUAUCAGCUAGUUGGUGGGGUAAUGGCCUACCAAGGCGACGACGGGUAGCCGGCCUGAGAGGGCGACCGGCCACACUGGGACUGAGACACGGCCCAGACUCCUACGGGAGGCAGCAGUGGGGAAUAUUGCGCAAUGGGCGAAAGCCUGACGCAGCGACGCCGCGUGAGGGAUGAAGGCCUUCGGGUUGUAAACCUCUUUCAGCAGGGACGAAGCGAAAGUGACGGUACCUGCAGAAGAAGCACCGGCUAACUACGUG